rnacentral:lncRNA from 1 species
UAGGAUCGUUCACUGGGAAGGGUUUUCGCAAACACAAGUGAUAUUCAAAUUAGGAAAAUAGGUGAUUUUCUUAUGGAUGUUAGCUUUAAAAGAAGAUGUAAAUAUUUCAGAAAGAUUUAAACUAAUCUAAGCUAACAUUAAAGACUAAAAUGAAAGGGUGUAAAAACAAGUUUCUCAAAGAUAGGAUAGCUAUGCUCUGGCUCUUAUGCAAAUUGGAAAUCUCAGGAUAGGCUCCUCGCGUUGGGGUUGCAACUAUGGUGAUGCUUGCUUCCCGAACCGGUAUGGAUUUAGCAAAUCAAGUUUUAAUCCUUUAAAAUGGCAAAACAGAUGGUAGUGAAUUUCAUCAAUGGUUAUUCACCUUAGACUUCCUUUGAGUGGCUCGUAA